UACGAAGGGGGCUAGCGUUGCUCGGAAUUACUGGGCGUAAAGCGCACGUAGGCGGGUUGUUAAGUUGGGGGUGAAAUCCUGGAGCUCGACUCCAGAACUGCCUCCAGAACUGGCGAUCUUGAGUUCGGGAGAGGUGAGUAGAACUGCGAGUGUAGAGGUGAAAUGCGUAGAGAUGCGGAAGAAUACCAGUGGCGAAGGCGGCUCACUGGCCCGAUACUGACGCUGAGGUGCGAAAGCGUGGGGAGCAAACAGG
rnacentral:rRNA from 1 species